UUACGGUCAAAUCACACUGAAACACCGGUUCUCGUUCGAUCACCGAAGUUAAGCAUCGUAGAGCCAGGUCAGUACUGAGAUGGGGGACCGCUUGGGAACACCUGGGACUGUAAG
rnacentral:rRNA from 1 species